AUUGAACGCUGGCGGCAGGCCUAACACAUGCAAGUCGAACGAGUGGCGGACGGGUGAGUAAUGUCUGGGAAACUGCCUGAUGGAGGGGGAUAACUACUGGAAACGGUAGCUAAUACCGCAUACCAUCGGAUGUGCCCAGAUGGGAUUAGCUAGUAGGUGGGGUAAAGGCUAACCUAGGCGACGCUCCCUAGCUGGUCUGAGAGGAUGACCAGCCACACUGGAACUGAGACACGGCCCAGCCUCCUACGGGAGGCGGCAGUGGGGAAUAUUGCACAAUGGGCGAAAGCCGGAUGCAGUCAUGCCGCGUGUAUGAAGAAGGCCUUCGGGUUGUAAAGUACUUUCAGCGGGGAGGCGUUACCCGCAGAAGAAGCACCGGCUAACUACGUGCCAGCCGCCGCGGUAAUUC
rnacentral:rRNA from 1 species